rnacentral:rRNA from 1 species
GACGAACGCUGGCGGCGUGCUUAACACAUGCAAGUCGAACGGUAAGGCCCUUCGGGGUACACGAGUGGCGAACGGGUGAGUAACACGUGGGUGAUCUGCCCUGCACUUCGGGAUAAGCCUGGGAAACUGGGUCUAAUACCGGAUAGGACUCCUGGCUGCAUGGUUGGGGGGGGAAAGCUUUUGCGGUGUGGGAUGGGCCCGCGGCCUAUCAGCUUGUUGGUGGGGUAAUGGCCUACCAAGGCGACGACGGGUAGCCGGCCUGAGAGGGUGACCGGUCACACUGGGACUGAGAUACGGCCCAGACCCCUACGGGAGGCAGCAGUGGGGAAUAUUGCACAAUGGGCGCAAGCCUGAUGCAGCGACGCCGCGUGAGGGAUGACGGCCUUCGGGUUGUAAACCUCUUUCAGCUAUGACGAAGCGCAAGUGACGGUAGUAGCAGAAGAAGGACCGGCCAACUACGUGCCAGCCGCCGCAGUAA